AGUUUGCCAUGCUCAUCCCAGAAGAGUCACACGAAAAAGAAAGUCCAGACAUGCAGCUUAAGUUGAGACAGCAGGGUGCAGGGAGUGUGGAGCCAGGCAGAGUGGCCAGCUUCACCGGCUGUGGAUGAGAAGGCAGUGGUGGGAGGAAUCUUGGAAACCAGACAGCCCCGAAGCAAAAGGCUCCGCAAGUGCCAGCAAGAAACCUGAGCUGAGAGAUCAUCUAAAGGCGCCGCCUGCCACGCCCUGGAGAGAACCCCAUCCCAGCUCGGGAAGGAAUGGAGGCCAGCCCCUGGAAACACAGCUUCUCCUUGGUGGCUUGGGACACAGGGUUUCCCAUGGCCAUCUAGUAAAGUCUCAGCCCGGAGGAAUGAGCCUGAAUACACCAGCCAGACUGAUGAGUCCCAGCAGAAUUCACACCUUGAUGGCUCACACUCUCCCCGCUGCUGGAAGAUUGCUGAGGGCAGCUGGAGGUAAUGGGGAAGAAGACUCCCGAAGGUAUCAAACACUUUGGGUCCCACAAAUACAGAUGAACAGUAGCUGACCAUUUGAGGGGGGUGACCAGGAUGAGGUCACUUUCACUUGCCUCCCUUCCACUUUGCUUUUGAAAUUCUGAAGUGAAUUCUCACUUAAUUAAGUAGCUAACUGCUAAACAAUCUUCCUUUAGAUUUACAGAGCCCAGAACAUCUGGUGCCCUUUGUAAUGCUCUCCCUUAGUCUGCAGUUCUGUUUUUCAACCAACACAAAACAUGUAAAUGGCUGUGGGGCUCAAAUUUGCAGAAAAGUAAUAUAUCUGUUUUCAGAAAAUAUAAGAACUACUCUCGGAGGUCAAGGUAAAUUAUGAUGUUCCAACCAAAAUAAAAAUAAAGAGACACGCACCCUGGAUGAUUGACACCUGGCUCUGCACGCAGCUGUUCUGCCCUGUUCCUCUUUCAGUCACCAGAAAACUCCUCGGUACCCUGAGACACCCCCCCAAAAAUGGAUCAACAGCCCCUCCAUCUCCUAAGAUGUCAGUCCUUAAAUAAACCAGAUUCCUCUCG